AUUGAACGCUGGCGGCAUGCUUUACACAUGCUAGUCGAACGGUAACAGGCCUUCGGGUGCUGACGAGUGGCGAACGGGUGAGUAAUGCAUCGGAACGUACCCAGAGGUGGGGGAUAACGCAGCGAAAGCUGUGCUAAUACCGCAUGUGAUCUGAGGAUGAAAGCGGGGGACCGAGCAGCAAUGUUUGGCCUCGCGCCUUUGGAGCGGCCGAUGUCGGAUUAGCUAGUUGGUGGGGUAAAGGCCUACCAAGGCGACGAUCCGUAGCUGGUCUGAGAGGACGACCAGCCACACUGGGACUGAGACACGGCCCAGACUCCUACGGGAGGCAGCAGUGGGGAAUUUUGGACAAUGGGCGCAAGCCUGAUCCAGCAAUGCCGCGUGCGGGAAGAAGGCCUUCGGGUUGUAAACCGCUUUUGGCAGGAACGAAACGGUGUCCGCUAAUACCGGGCGCUAAUGACGGUACCUGCAGAAUAAGCACCGGCUAACUACGUG
rnacentral:rRNA from 1 species